UCAGGCCUGCUGGAGGCAGCACAGGGUAGCAGAAAAAGCCACAGGACACAGGGUUCAGAGGCCCUGUGCUUACAUCACCUGCGCAGUGGCUUCAGCGAAAGUCCUGACUUCUGUGAGAUUGUUUCCUCAUCUGAAAAAUGGAGAUCUGAUUGCCACUGGGUCCAAAUUCUUUGCAUGGCAUUCAAAGCUCUUCCCAUCUGGCCACCGCAAGAUCACUGAUUCAUAUUUAUUGAGCACCUGCCAUGUACAAAUUCUCCUGGGAUCUGUGGGAAGCCGGAUGACUGCCAGCCCCGCCAUUCAUACUGACUGGAGUGAGAGAAGGAGUCUGGAAUUGAAUUUUGAUAGAGGCUGUCCUUUUUACUUGGAUGGAUUCCUGCACCUUGCCUCGCUUCAGCACUUCUUUGGAUUUUUAACAUGAGUCUCAAUAGUCCCAUCUUUGAAAUGAAGAGUUAGACAGUUGGUCUCCAGAAUGCUUUCCAGCUUCAGUACUCCUGGAUCCCAUGCCUGAAGAGGACACAGAGCAGGUCAGUUUUGAUGAUUCCUCCAGAAGAUGAGUCACCCCGCGCUCAAACCUUUCUUUAUAAUCAGUUCAUACAUCAUCAACUUAAUGAGCCUGGAGCAGGAAAGAGUCUUCUCCCAGAGCUCCGCAGCAGACGUAUCAAACCCUUAACAACAGUGAUGGUGAGGUUGAUGGGAAAAGUCAGAGCAGCAGACAACUUCUGCAGGGUGCAAGGACCAAAGUUGAUGACAUUUAUUUUUCCCAGAAACAACAAGCCUUGCCUACAACCCAUGUUUUCAUAUGAAUAAAGUCUCACUGAAUCCGUAGUGAACUUGCCUGCGGCUGAAACACAUUGGCAAGACAAGAAGAUUCACAGAAAGCCAUGUGAUGAGCACAUUUGGUAAUAACAGACAACU